rnacentral:rRNA from 1 species
UACGGAGGGGGCUAGCGUUGUUCGGAAUUACUGGGCGUAAAGCGCGCGUAGGCGGACCUGCAAGUCGGGGGUGAAAGCCCGAGGCUCAACCUCGGAACUGCCUUCGAUACUGCGGGUCUCGAGUCCGGGAGAGGUGAGUGGAAUUCCUAGUGUAGAGGUGAAAUUCGUAGAUAUUGGGAAGAACACCGGUGGCGAAGGCGGCUCUCUGGGA